rnacentral:lncRNA from 1 species
GGGAUUAAUUCUGUCAAAUUUGGAUUAUGAACUAUUACUUCCUCUGUAGGUACUAGCUUGUGCCUUGACCUGUGUCUUAGAAAAUUAUCAGUACCCAAAGCUUUCGCGAAGCCAUCUGCAUACUUUAAUUUUGAUGGUAUGUAUUCUACUUUUAAGAUUCCUUUGCUUAUCAAUUCUCUUACAAAGUAGUAACUUAUUUCUAUGUGUCUUGAUCUAGAGGUGAUUGUUGGAUUUUUAGUCAUGAAUAUUGCUGAUUUACUAUCACAUAAUAGUCUUGGAGGAUUCUUCAAUUUUAUUUCCAAUUCUCUUAGAAGAUAACAGUACCAUCUUAACUCUGAGGUGACAUGAGCCAUGGCUUUGAACUCUGCCUCUGUACUUGAAUUAGAGACAGCUGGUUGUUUCUUUGCAGACCAUGAAAGUAAAUUUCCCCAUACCAAAUACUAGAGCCUGUGAUGGAUCUUCUAUCAUAUGUUCCUCUCCAAUCAGAAUCUGUGUAGGCUGCUAAAUCUGGAAAUGCUUCUGAGUUUCUUGUAAUUCUCAAGCCCAAGUAUUCAGUUCCUCUUAAGUAUCUGAAUAUCCUUUUUAUUGCAUUUAAAUGACCCUCUUUAUGAUUUUGGAAAAAUUGACACACUUGAUUAAUAGGGAAUGACAAGUCUAGUCUGAUCAGUGUUAGAUAUUGCAGACUUCCUACCAUACUUCUGUAGCCUGUGAUAUCUUUCACAUCUUCCCCCAUAUCUGCUUGUAACUUCGUAGAUAGUGUUAUGGGAGUCCUUACUGGAUUAGACAGAUGAUAUCCUACUUUUUUAAUAUCUCUUGUGUAUAAUUUUGUUGUGAAAGUACCAUAUUUUCUCCUUGGUAUAUGCAUUCAAUGCCUAGAAAGAAACUGAGUUUCCCCAUAUCUCUACAUUGAAAGGUGGUACAAAUAUUUUUUAUGAAUUCUGAUAUCUUUUGCAUAUAUGUUCCUGUCACAAUUAUAUCAUCAACAUAUAUUAAGACCAUCAAUUUUGAUUCACCUGAAUUUUUGUAAAAAAGAGAGGCAUCUGCAUUUGAAUUCUUAAAUUCUUGAGAUAUAAGUUGCUCCUGUAAUCUGAGGUACCAAGCUCUAGGAGCUUGCUUGAGGCCAUACAAGGCUUUCUGUAGUAGGCACACAUCUUGGGGUCUUGUCUCAUCUUCAAAGCCCUUAGGCUGCUUCAUAUAGACUGUCUCCUGUAAAUACCCAUUUAAAAAUGCAUUCUUGAUGUCCAAUUGCCUUAAUGUCCAUCCAUGACUGACUGCUAAUGAUAAUAUGGUUCUUAUUGUUGAAAUUUUAACCACUGGGCUAUAGGUAUACUGAAAGUCUAUUCCUUCCUCUUGGUUGCAUCCUUGAGCAACCAACCUUGCUUUGUAUCUUUCUAUUGUUCCAUCUGAUUUCCUCUUUAUCUUAUACACCCACCUAGAGCCAAUUAUGUUCAUGUAAUUUUCCUUCUUUACUAGAGUCCAGGUAUUAUUUUCUUUUAUAGCUUUUAUUUCUUCUUCCAUGGCUUUCCUCCAGCAUUCAUACUUAUUAGCUUGUGAAAAAAAUUGAGGCUCACAACAUUCAUUAGAAACAUAUGUAUUACAGACAAAAUCUUUAUAUUUAGUGGAUGGAAUUUUUAAUCUAUGUGAUCUUCCCAAUUCUGACGAAAUGUUCUGUCAUGAUGGUCAGAACCAGAUGGGUUAUGACUUGUAUUUAAGUCCAAGUCUGCCCUGCUCUCAGAAUUUACAAUAGAAAUCGGUUGUAUGUUAUGUUGAACAUCAGAACUUUGAUUAAUAGUAUCUGUAUUAGUAGAUAUACUUUGUUCAGAUUGAUUUGUGUUAGAAAGUUGAUCAGGAGGAUCCCUUUCUAAGCUUUCACUGUCUAUAAUCAUCUGUUGAUUGGAUGAUUCAAUGACUUGUGGGACUGGAGCUGGAAUUUGUUUUUGUGAUAUUGUUAGAAAGUCUAAGGGUUUUCUUUUUUGAUUUUGGGUUUCUACAUUCCUUGAUGGAAUAUCAAGGAAAGGGAAAGACACUUCAUCGAAAAUUACAUCUCUACAUAUUCUUAUAUCUCUGGUUUCUAUGUCCAAGCACCUGUAGCCUUUCUGUUGUGUAGCAUAACCCAAGAAGACACAUGCCUUUGAUUUUGGCAUCAAUUUAUUCCUUCCAAUUCUUGGUAAUAAAGGAAAGCAUUUGCAUCCAAUUGUCUUUAAUUCACUGUAAUCAGGUAUUUUAUUUAGUAACACCUCAUAUGGACUUUUGUUCUCCAAUGUUGGUGUCUUGAUUUUGUUAAUCAAAUAGACUGCUGAAGAGAAUAUUUCUGGCCAAUACUCAUGAGGGAUACCUGAUUUUAUGAGCAAACACCUUCCAACCUCAAUUAUUUGUCUAUGUCUCCUUUUUACAAGUCCAUUCUGUUUUGGAGUGUAUGGACAUGACAUUCUAUGACCAAUUCCCAUUUUCUCUAAGUAUUCUCUGAAUCUAAUGUUCACAAAUUCUCCUCCCUGAUCUGUUUGUACUUCUCCUAUUUUUAAAUCAAAAAAUCUCUCUACUUGUACAUGAAACUUCAGAAAGACUGAUGUAAAAACUGAUUUAUUAAUGAUUGGAUAAAACCAAUUAAAUCUAGUACAUUCAUCAACAAUUGAUAUGUAAAAUCUAUAGUUAUUUACAGAUGUAGUUGGAGAUGGACCCCAAGGAUCUAUAUGUAAAACUUGCAGUGGUUGAGUAGCUAAAUUCUCCCUUCUUUUAUAAGGUAGCUGAUGUGCCUUUCCCAAAGGACAGACUGAACAGAAUGGAUUCUUCUUUUUUUUGCUGGGUUCUAUCAUUAAUUCUGAGGAUAAUUGAUUUAAAACUGUAUCAGAAGGGUGUCCCAGCAUUUCAUGCCAUUUUUCCUUAGUAACCCUUACUCCAUAACAUGCUUGCAUAUCUAAGUAUAGAGGAUAUAGACCUUCUUUACUAAUGCCAGAAAAUAAUAUCUCCAUAGUUUCCCGGUCCUUAAUCAAAAAAUUCAUAUUGUUAAAAAUCACCAAACAAUUUAAAUCUCUAGAGAGUUUUUGUAUAGACAAUAGAUUUUUCUGUAAACCCUGGCACACAUAAUACUCCCUCUAAAAUAAAAUUUUCCCUCCUGAUUUUAAGUUAUUCUCCCUCUAUAAG